GACCGCUCCGCCAUCCUGAGCUUG
rnacentral:siRNA from 1 species